UGUCUAGGGAUGGGAAUCGAACCAACAAUGUUCCGUUUACCGGGCAGAUGCCAUGUCCACUAGGCUACCCUGGAC
rnacentral:tRNA from 1 species